AAUAUUUGUAAUAAUUUUCUUCAAUAAAAAAAAAAUAGCAACAAAAAAAUAUAACAACAUAUCUAGUAAGACCCAAUUUCAACCUCCAAAGCGAAGAGAUACUAGUUUCUAAUGUAACUUGAUCAUUUAUCUUUUACAAAGAAAUAUGUUUAUUAUUUCUUAUUUUCUCACAUAAUAAAGAAACAAAGAAAAACACUUAUUAGAAGCAACCUUACAUUUAAAAUAAAAAUACAAUAUUUAUUCAUAAUUAGCCCCCGUGCAUCGUAUGGGUGGAAAUACUAGUAAUAAAGAAACAAAGAAAAACACUUAUUAUUAGAAGCAACCUUAAAUUUAUAACUUAUAACUUAGUAUUAUUAUGGCAAUAAUGGAAGCCAGGUUUAUGAUCCUCGGAAAUGAAAUAGUUGAACUUGAUGAAUCUGGUGACAGUCUAUGGCAUCCAACCAACUGAUCCAAGCUUAUCAAGUAUGAUUUGCAGAUUUGAUUCAUGCAUGGUUUAUUUGUAGCAUAUGGAAUCUUCGUGCACCGCUUGAGCAUCCCAGCAUAAGGACCUUCCGGUAUUGUAAUCUACAAUAAAGAUAUUAUGUGUUUUCAUACUUAACAAAAAAAAUUAAAAAUAUGUGUUUUCAUUAGCUAUAUAUAUCAUGGAGAGAUUAUCGUUAGAAAUAAUAUAAAACUAUUGAUAUGAUUCUAUCAUAACAGUUUAAGUUUUUUGGAUAAUCGGUUAUUUGACAUGAUAUCAGAGCCUCUAUGACUAAGUGGUCUAGAGUUCGAUCAUCGCUCCCCUCACUUUCUAAUUAAAAAGUGGAAUUUAUGUAUAUGGUAGGUGGACCUAUGCAUUAUCCAUGCUUCAAGCUCAAGUGAGCUUUUGCGUGAGGGGACGUGUUAGAAAUAAGUAAUUAAAUUUAAGUGGUUAAUGAGUUUAAUUUUUAAUCAAAUUUUAUAUAUUUUUCGGCUAAAGUAGAGUUAACAAAAACAAAAAGCUUAUAGAGUGAGAGAAUGUGACUAUCAAAAUAUUGAUCUUAUGACUUAAUUCAUGGAGCUAGUACAGGAAAAAAACCUCAUUGCUGCCAUCCGUUCCAACUAAAUAAUCAAUUACAGCUGUCGUAUCUGCUGGAGAAUUGCAAAUUGUCUUUAUGUCAUUGUUGGAAAAGCACUUCUCAGUAAUCUGAAACAUUCAUGAGUCCUUAUGAAAAUGUUAUAUAUUCUGAAUGAUUUUAAAUAAUUUUGAUUUUGAACUAAAGGGUAAUCCCCUAUUUGGAUCAAUAUUUCUAAAUUAAAAUAAAGAUGAAUAUAUAAAAUUUAUUUACUUGUUGCAGGGUUGAGUUAAGCGUGGAAGGUAAAUUCAUUUGAAGUUGAGGAUGAGUGACUAAUAUUGGUGUUGCAUGUGAGAAGACACCAAUGGAGAAUGUGAGGAUUAUUAAGGUAAGAGCUUUCAUCAUUUAAUUACUUGUAAUUAAGUUGUAACCCUUUUUUAUUCUUCACAAGAGGAGAAGACAAAUGAAAAACACCUAAAUUGUUUGGAUUUAAGAUUUUACUAUUUAUAGAAUUAUAAAGGCCAUGGAAAUAUUUAAUUACCCCAUGCAUGAAUUUCUAACUAAAUUAACUAAUUGGGAAAAUAAAUAAAUUAAUUAAGAGUUUAAAUAUGGUAAGCAGUCAGUGUAAUGAAAGUUUACACAAACAUCCAAUGAGAAACCACCACUCUUCCAUGUCAUAUAUACUCUCUCCGUCCCAAAUUGAGUGACAAUUGAUUAUAUUAUACUAUUCAUACAUAUUGUUUUGACCAUAGUUUAUUAAUAAUAAAUAAAAAUAAAUAUUAGCAUAUAAGUAAUUUCAAAAUAAUCAUACAUAAGUGAGAUGAUGUGACAGAAAGAUGAAACAUUAUUGGUUGUUUGUGUAAUAUUGUUUUAGUCUGUAUAUUUAUAUCCUUAAUCUCAUUAAGAGUAUCCUUUAAUCUCAUUAAUUAAUUUAAUACAUAUGGAUUGAUCCAAUGGUCAAAACUUGAGAUGCAAGUUAACUAGAUGUUUUGCCACUCCGACCAAUUCAAUUCCCAUGUAUUUUUUAUACAAGUUCAACUCCUCAGUGUUUUAAAAAUCGGACCGGUCAUCGAACCAGUAAGGAUAUUGGAUCAUUGGUUCAUUGGUCAAACUACUAGGUCACUGGUCGAAUAACAUGAUUAACCGGAUUAAACCGAUGGAAUGAACCGGUCUCUAUAAUAAAACUAUAUAGUUAUUAAACCGGUCGAAUGGUAACUCAUCCUUUGAAAAAAAUCAUAAACAAUAUAAAAAAUUGAAAAUGUCAUAUUAACUCAUAAUAUCACAAGUUCUUAAAUACAAAACCUAAACAUUGUCAUCACACACAUUAAAAUAGUACAAAAUACAAAUCUAAAUAAGUUUUAAACAUCAAACACAAAUAAGUUUUAAACAAAGUGUAAUUGCAACAUAAGUUUUAGAAUAAUAAGUUUUAGAAUCAUUAGUCAAACUGCAACAUAAGUUUUGGUUUUAAAUAAGUUUUAGAAUCAUUAGUAUUUCUUACCGCAAAAAUAUUAGUUAUUAUAAAUAAAAAUGAGAGUUGAACAAUUAAAUUGAUAUUAGACAAACAAUAAAUAAAAUAUAAAGUUCAUAAAAAAAAUAAUAAGCAAUAUCUAAAGUCCAUAAACAAAAAAUGAAAAAAUAAAAUCAAUUGUAAGAAUAUAAAGAAUAUAUGCAAUAUAUAGAAUAUAAAGUAAAAAUAUUUACAAGUCAACAACUUAGCAUAGUGGUUGUGUGACUGAACUAUUAUAGAGAGGUCAGUUGUUCAAUCAUUACUGGUUUUCGGUCCAACCGGUUCGACCAAUCGAUCCGGUGUUUAAAACACUACAAUUGCUUCCGUGGGUUUGAUUUUAAAAUAUUAACUUGAAUAUAUCCUAACAAAGGCAUGAUUUUUUUGUUUUUAAAAGGCAAUAUAAAGGCAUGAAAAUAAUUAAUAGAAAAAUGAUCUUGUUGGCUUCAUGGAAGAAUCAAAGGUUGGAUUAGGAAUGUAAUUCCUUUGCUUUACUGAAAGAUCACCGAUUAAUUGUUGAUUCGAUCCAUUUAUUAUAAUCUGCUUACUUCCUCCGGCUUUAUUUAUAAGCAAAAGUCAACAAAGUUUUUUGGGCUUAAAUAUAAGUAAAAGUUAUCAAAUUCAACUCUAUUAAAUUUUAUUGUUCCCAAAAUACCCCUCAUUAAUUUUCACUUUUUAAGAUGAUUGUAUAUUUUCAAUGCAAAUUUAAUAUAUUGUAAAGAAUAGUUUAGUAAUUACAACAACUUUCUUAAUAAGUGUGAAAUGGAAGAAUUUUGCCUAUAAAUAAGGCCGGAAUAGUAUAUUAAAAAAAUUAAUUUUAUACUCACUCCAAAGGCUCAGAUUGAGUAUUUAGAUUUACUCUCUUGAUGUACUAGUACAAUAAAUUGAAUAUGGUUAAUUUCAAUGUGAAAACUUUCAACAAGAUUCUCUACAAAUUUUACGAGUAUUAAGAGAAGAGUUGCAACAAUAAAUUCAAAUUAAUAAGUUGUGUGUUAUUUUUAUAUAAUAAUUAUCAGAGCCGUUUCAAACAAUUUAAAAGACGUUGUUCUAUUGGUUAAAAAAAAAAGACGUUGUUCUAAUAUUAAAAAUUAGUAGUUUAUAUGAAACUUAAAAUAAACUCAUGAGAAAAAUCAUUAGAGAAUACUCUUCCGACCUUUUUUAUAAGCAAAUAUUCCAAUUUGUAAUCUAUUAAGAAGUUACAUUUUUGUGUUGAUUUUUAUGUAAGAGUUCUAUUACAAUUAUUAAAAUGACCUUAUAAUAAUUUUGCAUUAGAACUCUACAAUCAUCGUAAAAAGUAGAACAAUUAAUGAGAGUAAUUUUGGAAAAAUAACGUUAAAUAAAGUUGGUUUUGAUGACUUUUGCUUAUAUUUAAGGCAAAAACUUUUUGUUGACUUUUGCUUAUAAAUAAGGUCGAAGGAAGUACGCUAUGCUUUAAAAUGUAUAAAGUUAUUCUCUCUCAUCAUUAUUUUUGUCAUUUAUUUUCUUUUUUAGUAUGCUUAACAAGUGUUCAGAGACACUAUUUAACAUCACCCUUUAAGUUAUUUACUUUCAUCCUCAAUAGCCUUAAUUUUAAGGAAAAUGAGCUUUAUCCAUAAUCUAAACUCAAUCGACAGUUAUCUUUGCCUAGAUAUAUAGUAGCUACUCCCUCCAUCCCAUUUUAUAAGAGCUAUUUUAACUAAAUGACACUAUUCACUUAUCUUGCUUUGACCAUAUUUUUUAAAAAAUAUAUAGAUAUAAAUAUUAGCAUAUAAGAUCUUGUUUGAUUCGUUUUGAUGAGUAUUUUCAAAAUAUCAAGUUUUUAUAAUUUUUACUGAUAGACAAUUAAAGAUAUUAUUAAUCAAAAUUGUGUGUUGGCAUACGUGCUGCUAGGGGUGGGCAUCAGAUCGGUUCGGUUCGGUUUCGGUCUCAAACCCUCGAACCGAAUGGACCCACGGUUGGCAUAUAUAAACCCAAUACCGAACCAAUUGCUUACUCGGUUUGGUCGAUUUUCGGGUUGACUCGGUUUCGGUUCGGUUCAACGGUUUUGACAUUUUUUAAAAUUAUUUUUUGAACUAAAGGGCAGUCCCCUAUUCGGAUCAAUAUUUCAAAAUUAAAAUAAAGAUGAGUAUAUAAAAUUUAUUUACUUGUUGUUGGGUAUGGUUAAGAGUGACCAAUAUUGGUGUUGCAUGUGAGAAGACACCAAUGGAGAAUGUGAGGAUUAUUAAGGUAAGAGCUUUCAUCAUUUAAUUACUUGUAAUUAAGUUGUAACCCUUUUUUAUUCUUCACAAGAGGAGAAGACAAAUGAGAAACACCUAAAUUGUUUGGAUAUUUUAAGAUUC
rnacentral:lncRNA from 1 species